rnacentral:rRNA from 1 species
CAGUCGCCGCGGUAAUACGAAGGGUGCAAGCGUUAAUCGGAAUUACUGGGCGUAAAGCGUGCGUAGGCGGUUUGUUAAGUCUGUUGUGAAAUCCCCGGGCUCAACCUGGGAAUGGCAAUGGAUACUGGCAAGCUAGAGUGCGUCAGAGGAUGGUGGAAUUCCCGGUGUAGCGGUGAAAUGCGUAGAGAUCGGGAGGAACAUCAGUGGCGAAGGCGGCCACCUGGGACAACACUGACGCUGAGGCACGAAAGCGUGGGGAGCAAACAGGAUUAGAUACCCCGGUAGUCCCUGUCUCUUAUAC